CACUCCUACGGGAGGCAGCAGUGGGGAAUAUUGCACAAUGGGCGCAAGCCUGAUGCAGCCAUGCCGCGUGUAUGAAGAAGGCCUUCGGGUUGUAAAGUACUUUCAGCGGGGAGGAAGGCGAUAAGGUUAAUAACCUUGUCGAUUGACGUUACCCGCAGAAGAAGCACCGGCUAACUCCGUGCCAGCAGCCGCGGUAAUACGGAGGGUGCAAGCGUUAAUCGGAAUUACUGGGCGUAAAGCGCACGCAGGCGGUCUGUCAAGUCGGAUGUGAAAUCCCCGGGCUCAACCUGGGAACUGCAUUCGAAACUGGCAGGCUAGAGGCUUGUAGAGGGGGGAAGAAUUCCAGGUGUAGCGGUGAAAUGCGUAGAGAUCUGGAGGAAUACCGGUGGCGAAGGCGGCCCCCUGGACAAAGACUGAUGCUCAGGUGCGAAAGCGUGGGGAGCAAACAGGAUUAGAAACCCGGGUAGUCCCA
rnacentral:rRNA from 1 species